UCCGUUAUUGAUUAUGACGUGCUUGCACUGAAUGAGAUUUUAACACGAAGUGAGUGGCGGACGGGUGAGUAACACGUGGGUAACCUGCCCAGAAGCAGGGGAUAACACCUGGAAACAGAUGCUAAUACCGUAUAACAGAGAAAACCGCCUGGUUUUCUUUUAAAAGAUGGCUCUGCUAUCACUUCUGGAUGGACCCGCGGCGCAUUAGCUAGUUGGUGAGGUAACGGCUCACCAAGGCGAUGAUGCGUAGCCGACCUGAGAGGGUAAUCGGCCACAUUGGGACUGAGACACGGCCCAGACUCCUACGGGAGGCAGCAGUAGGGAAUCUUCCACAAUGGACGCAAGUCUGAUGGAGCAACGCCGCGUGAGUGAAGAAGGGUUUCGGCUCGUAAAGCUCUGUUGUUAAAGAAGAACGUGGGUGAGAGUAACUGUUCACCCAGUGACGGUAUUUAACCAGAAAGCCACGGCUAACUACGUGCCAGCAGCCGCGGUAAUACGUAGGUGGCAAGCGUUAUCCGGAUUUAUUGGGCGUAAAGCGAGCGCAGGCGGUCUUUUAAGUCUAAUGUGAAAGCCUUCGGCUCAACCGAAGAAGUGCAUUGGAAACUGGGAGACUUGAGUGCAGAAGAGGACAGUGGAACUCCAUGUGUAGCGGUGAAAUGCGUAGAUAUAUGGAAGAACACCAGUGGCGAAGGCGGCUGUCUGGUCUGUAACUGACGCUGAGGCUCGAAAGCAUGGGUAGCGAACAGGAUUAGAUACCCUGGUAGUCCAUGCCGUAAACGAUGAUUACUAAGUGUUGGAGGGUUUCCGCCCUUCAGUGCUGCAGCUAACGCAUUAAGUAAUCCGCCUGGGGAGUACGACCGCAAGGUUGAAACUCAAAAGAAUUGACGGGGGCCCGCACAAGCGGUGGAGCAUGUGGUUUAAUUCGAAGCUACGCGAAGAACCUUACCAGGUCUUGACAUCUUCUGCCAACCUAAGAGAUUAGGCGUUCCCUUCGGGGACAGAAUGACAGGUGGUGCAUGGUUGUCGUCAGCUCGUGUCGUGAGAUGUUGGGUUAAGUCCCGCAACGAGCGCAACCCUUAUUACUAGUUGCCAGCAUUCAGUUGGGCACUCUAGUGAGACUGCCGGUGACAAACCGGAGGAAGGUGGGGACGACGUCAAAUCAUCAUGCCCCUUAUGACCUGGGCUACACACGUGCUACAAUGGAUGGUACAACGAGUCGCGAAACCGCGAGGUUUAGCUAAUCUCUUAAAACCAUUCUCAGUUCGGACUGUAGGCUGCAACUCGCCUACACGAAGUCGGAAUCGCUAGUAAUCGCGGAUCAGCAUGCCGCGGUGAAUACGUUCCCGGGCCUUGUACACACCGCCCGUCACACCAUGAGAGUUUGUAACACCCAAAGCCGGUGGGGUAACCUUUUAGGAGCUAGCCGUCU
rnacentral:rRNA from 1 species